GCAUGGCUGUGGUCAGAUCGUGUCGUGAGAUGUUGGGUUAAGUCCCGCAACGAGCGCAACCCUCGCCUUUAGUUGCCAUCAUUUAGUUGGGCACUGUAGAGGGACUGCCGGUGAUAAGCCGGAGGAAGGUGGGGAUGACGUCAAGUCCUCAUGGCCCUUACGGGUUGGGCUACACACGUGCUACAAUGGCGGCGACAAUGGGCAGCGAAGGGGCGACCCGGUGCAAAUCCCAAAAAGCCGUCUCAGUUCGGAUUGUACUCUGCAACUCGAGAGCAUGAAGGUGGAAUCGNUAGUAAUCGCGUAACAGCAUGACGCGGUGAAUACGUUCCCGGGCCUUGUACACACCGCCCGUCACACCAUGGGAGUUGGUUUUACCCGAAGCUGGUGCGCUAACCGCAAGGAGGCAGCCAACCACGGUAAGGUCAGCGACUGGGGUGAAGUCGUAACAAGGUAGCCCUAGGGGAACCUGAGGCAGAUCACCUCCUGAAGCUUGGAUCCCGGGAAUCGAAUUCCCGCG
rnacentral:rRNA from 1 species